AAGGGUCAGUGGCUGGGCUGAGCUCCUGCGAGUUCAGAGGGGUUUUGUGGUGUAAAAUCCCAUCUCCCAACUCAGCAGGGCAGAAAUGAGAAUGAAAUCACCUAAAAAUAGCUGAGAAUUUUCAAGUGUCAGCUGUAACAUAAAGAGGAAUGGCUGUCUCUCCUUACAGAGCCAGGAUGGAUGGAGUGAGCUUGUCAUUCAGGAUCAAGACAGAGAGAGCUUACACACAAAUUGUAGAUGGAACACCCAUGCAGUGCUCCCUGUAACCCAAACAUGAAGCAGCAGCAGAGUAUCAAGUCACCAAGCAGUGCUGUAUCCCACGUGCCACGGGAAAAGCAUCCCACGGGUCACAGGUUGCCAUCCUGUAAAGAGCCAGGCUGUUUAUGGAGUAAAAGGCUUCAGUAUAGA